GGCACUGUAGCCAAGUGGUUACGGCGACAGAUUCGAAAUCUGUUCCUCUUUGAGGGCGUAGGUUCGAAUCCUGCCAGUGUCG
rnacentral:tRNA from 1 species